rnacentral:tRNA from 1 species
UCCCUAGUGGUCUAGUGGUUAGGAUUCUGCACUUCCACUGCCAGAGCCCAGGUUCAAUCCCUGGUUGGGGGG